GACGAACGCUGGCGGCGUGCCUAAUACAUGCAAGUUGAGCGCUGAAGGUUGGUGCUUGUACCGACUGGGUGAGCAGCGAACGGGUGAGUAACGCGUGGGGAAUCUGCCUUUGAGCGGGGGACAACAUUUGGAAACGAAUGCUAAUACCGCAUAACAACUUUAAACACAAGUUUUAAGUUUGAAAGAUGCAAUUGCAUCACUCAAAGAUGAUCCCGGGUUGUAUUAGCUAGUUGGUGAGGUAAAGGCUCACCAAGGCGAUGAUACAUAGCCGACCUGAGAGGGUGAUCGGCCACAUUGGGACUGAGACACGGCCCAAACUCCUACGGGAGGCAGCAGUAGGGAAUCUUCGGCAAUGGACGAAAGUCUGACCGAGCAACGCCGCGUGAGUGAAGAAGGUUUUCGGAUCGUAAAACUCUGUUGGUAGAGAAGAACGUUGGUGAGAGUGGAAAGCUCAUCAAGUGACGGUAACUACCCAGAAAGGGACGGCUAACUACGUGCCAGCCGCCGCCGUAA
rnacentral:rRNA from 1 species